rnacentral:rRNA from 1 species
UACAGAGGUCCCGAGCGUUGUUCGGAUUUAUUGGGCGUAAAGGGUGCGUAGGCGGCGGAGUAAGUUGGGUGUGAAAUCCCGGGGCUCAACCUCGGAAUUGCAUUCAAUACUGCUUCGCUCGAGUACUGGAGAGGAGGCUGGAAUUUACGGUGUAGCAGUGAAAUGCGUAGAUAUCGUAAGGAAGGCCGGUGGCGAAAGCGAGCCUCUGGACAGUUACUGACGCUGAUGCACGAAGGCCAGAGGAGCAAACGGG